CCUUUGUGCUCUCUCUCAAGCCACUUACUCUGGUUUAAUUCUAACCCUAGUUAACAACUGUCCUUACACUAUCUGGCCUGCCAUUCAACCAAAUGCCGGUCACCCAGUUCUCGAACGCGGUGGCUUUGCACUUCACACACUCACACACCGCUCUUUUGCCGCACCGACUACCCACUGGUCCGGUAGAAUCUGGGCUAGAACUGGUUGUAGUUAUGCUCACGGUAAGUUCAGCUGCGCCACCGGUGACUGUGGGGGCCGUAUUGAGUGUGAAGGACUUGGUGGGGCCACCCCUGCCACGUUGGCACAGUUUGCUCUACACCAUGGACAUGCUGAUUUCUCGUCUUAUGGUGUUAGCCUUGUCGAUGGUUUCAAUAUUCCUCUUACUGUAACUCCACAUGAAGGUAAUUAAUGUUAAAUUAGUUUGUAAUCUAGAGUUUAAUUUUUAUAUACCCUGAAAAAAUACUACUAAAAACGUACAUAUUUGCAAGUAAUUAUUCAUAAGAAAUAAGGAUUAGUGUCGGAAACAGCCUCUUUACCUCCACAAAUAGAAGUUACGUUCGUGUACAUACUACCCUCCCAGAUACCACUGGCGAGUUUCACUGAUUUGUUUGAAGUAAGGAUUUUACAACAGUAUCACUAUAUACCGGUCAUUUACUAUAAACUUAAUAUAUGUUUUUUACAAUAGUAUUGCCCUAUAAUAAAAAACGGAACAAAUGACAUGUUAGGAAGAGGUUUGACUGUACUGGCUAUUAGUACAUGUUAAAAACCUCUAAAAAAAUGUAUGUUUUUAAAAAAAAAAAUUCAAAACUUAUGGCCGAACACUUACUAAAAGUGUAACAAGAUGUCACACGUUGUAAAUGUAUAGAACGUAAAUCCAGCUAUAUGGAGUAUAAAGUAGGAUAUCACACAUAUUAAGGUAAAAAUGAGUUUGGGGCUUUGUAUAUUACUACUUGAAUAUUUGAAAAUUCUUUAUUUUCAUUUAAAUAUCAUUCAAAAUUUUAAAUAUAAAUUUUUCUUACUUGUUUUUAAAUUUAGCAGGACAUAUCUCUUCAUGAAAUAUGAAUAUCCCGAAUAGUCUCUUAAACUACUUUCAUGCAUUUAGGCCUUUUAUUUGAAGUGACUCAGCUAAUUUGUAACAUAUUGUUAUACUUUAUUAUAUUCUGAAGAGAUUUAUCUAUAUUUUUCAGACAAAAUGCUGAAAGCGGUUUUUCUUGGGCUUUUAACACAUUUGGCCAGUCAUUGAAAAUAAUUACAACACUAGCCAAAUAUACAGAAAAUAUACACCA
rnacentral:lncRNA from 1 species